ensembl:lncRNA
AUGCUUAGAAAAAAUCAAUAAACUCCCUUCUAAAUAUUGAGACACUGCAGGCUUCUUUCAGACAAAUAACUUCUAAUUAUUCCAUAUUUUUCAAAUUAUUAACCAAGAUAAAGAAUCUCUCAGUUGGUGGGGAAAAUGAAAAUUAUUAAGAAUAGAAUUGUCUUCUGACUUUAAAAACAAUUCAUACUUUAAAACAUGAACUGUUUACCCAGGCUGGUGAUACUCUAGUUUGUUAGUAUACCAUACUUGAAGAUAUCAUCAAGAUCACUAUAGUUGUAUAUAUUCUCUAUUUUUAUAUGUAAAUGUUAACUUAGUUCAAGUAUUUUUUGCUUAUAUCAUUAACUGAUCAUCAAAUACAAUCCUAAAGAUAUAUCAGAAGCUUUAUUUUGGUACAAAGUCAUAAGAAUCAAAACUUUUUUAACCAUUCACAUUAGGUAUCAACAGUAAUUUUUUGAGAUACUUUUAUAUCAAUUCUGUUACACUGAGCCUUUAGUCAUACUAAGAGAAUGCAGAAGAAGUUAUAGGAAAACGAAUCUUCACUGAAACUAGUAUUGUAUAGUCUUGAAUUAGAUGUUUAAAAAACUUUAUAGCUUGAUAUAAAAUGAGUCGAAAAUUAUUAUUUAAUAGGAAGCAGCAUUAGGUUUUUGUCACCUGUUUUCAGAUAAUAUUUCUAGUCUAUGUUAUUUAAUUUUUACACUUUGGCCCAUUGUUUAUUUUCCUUAUGGAAUUCAUCAAAUGCAAUGAAAUUUGAAUAAAAUUGAUCAUAGCAAUAAAUAAUUUUUAAAUUCAGCACAAACUCAUCUUGAGCAUAUUAUCAACCAGGCUUCCUUUAGCAAUAAGAAUGGUGAAUCAACAUCCAGUACUAAAUUCAAUAAAUGAUGAAUACUUUAAAUACAAGAAAAAGUUGAAUUGCAGAAGAGGGCCUAAAAAGGAAGAAAGUUUUAAUUCUCAACAAGAAACACUAUUUAGAUGGAAAGCUUAAAUGUAUUGUUAUUAAGGGUAUUUGAUGAUGCAUUUUAUUUGCAAAAAUAACCAGUGGGUAAUUUUUUCUCUGAAAAUUUAGCUUUAGUGAGUCGUAAAAUUUCCUAAAGAUUUUGGAGACGAUAUUUCGAUUAUACCAGCUCUUGCUUUUAUUUUGGGAGCCUGGAGAAAUGAGAGUGAUUGCACCUGUCAAAUUUUGUAUCUCAUCGCUUUUGGAUCAUCACACUGUGACUAAAAUGACUUCAGCAUUUUGUCAGCCACCACAGUGAAGAACUAUUCCCUAAAGUUAAUCAGUUGCCUGACUGCCUUUUCUGCUACUGAGGGGGAAGAAAGGAAAGCUUUAUUUACCUCUAAUGAACUCCGUUCCAAGUCAGUUAAUCACUGUUCCCUUACACCCAAGAGUUUCAUCAGUAUCGGAGUCAACUUGUCAAAACACUGGUUCUCAGAUGUUUUUUUCAGAGGGACUUCUUUUCCCCACAUGGCCAGAUUUCUUUACAAUUAAGAAAAUAAGAGCUACAGCGUAUUCUUGGUUAAAAACCAGUUUAGAUGAUGUUACCAAAUGAAACAAGUCUAUUAGCAAAUGCCACGUUAUAUUUAGUCGUAUUCUCACUAAAUUCUCCUUUAUUAAAAUGAUUUCUGCAUCUUGCCUAGACAAUGCACUUACAUGUUUACAAGCGUUGUAUGUCAAUGUGCAUGUUUUGAGUUUCCUAACAGUGUCCAAUCUUAGUAGUUUCAUAGUAGUUACAUAAAAUCUCUUUAACUGCAAAAUACUAUAAAAUAUUACUUGAAAUAUUAAAGUAUUAGUGCCAUUUCUAGCUGUGGCAAGGCACAAGUCUUACUAUAGCUUACUUAUGUCUUCUCAUAGAUUUCAGUACAGCAUCUGAGUAGUGGAUCUGUUUACUGACAGUAUACACAAAUUAGGUCUUGACCUCACUUCUUUCUUCAUUUAAAAGGGAGAAGAUGAUUUGAAAUAGAGCUAGUGUAAAUAAUAAAUAAAAUUAUUUAAAUAACAUCAGUGGCUCAAUACCAUCUGUUGAGGAAUAAAAUAAUUUGGUUAACAUAUAGAACAUCGAUAAUAUACAAUAAUAACUUUUUAAAAAAUGAGUCUGAUCUUUUUGGCUCACCUAGCUUCCGUUAAUAAGAAAAUUUGAGAAACUUGGAUCUGAAAAUUAUAGUAAUAUACUUCCUAACAUUAAAUUCCUGGCUGUAAUAGUUAAUACUUUGGCAGCAUUAUGGUUAGUCUUGUUUAUGCCAUUGGCACUUACUAGGCUAAACUUUCUGAAACUGAUUGGUUUUGACCUAUGAGAUAAGGAAACAUGCUCAAGAAAUGGCUAGAAAUGCUAUUUAUUGCCCUAUGAUAAGUGAAAUAGCAAAUCACUCUGAUUCUUAAAAUUUCAUAUUAAAAUUAGCUAGUUCCUACAUGCAUGUGUGCACAAGUAUAUGCAGACACACACACAAAUCAGUAAUCUAUGUGAACUAGACACUAAUACUAAAUUACUAUUUAAAUUGGGUCCAGAAAGAUGCUGUUUUGAAAAGAACACUCUAAAAAUAUUUCAUUAGAGUUUUCUUGAUAACAAAUAGGAAAAUAUAUGUUUACACCCUGAAUAAAUUCAGCUGUGGGUGGAUUUUUGUUUUUCAAAAUGAUUUUGUUAGUUUGCAUGAAACCUAAAUAUCAUAGCACGCAAGUCAAUUCUUUAACAUUUUUCUUUAUAACAGAAUAUGAAAAAUGCUGUCUUAAAGUAUUGUAACUUUUCUGAAUUUUCAAUAAAAUGUUUUGCUUG